GACGAACGCUGGCGGCGUGCUUAACACAUGCAAGUCGAACGGAAAGGCCCUGCUUUUGUGGGGUGCUCGAGUGGCGAACGGGUGAGUAACACGUGAGUAACCUGCCCUUGACUUUGGGAUAACUUCAGGAAACUGGGGCUAAUACCGGAUAGGAGCUCCUGCUGCAUGGUGGGGGUUGGAAAGUUUCGGCGGUUGGGGAUGGACUCGCGGCUUAUCAGCUUGUUGGUGGGGUAGUGGCUUACCAAGGCUUUGACGGGUAGCCGGCCUGAGAGGGUGACCGGCCACAUUGGGACUGAGAUACAGCCCAGACUCCUACGGGAGGCAGCAGUGGGGAAUAUUGCACAGUGGGCGGAAGCCUGAUGCAGCAACGCCGCGUGCGGGAUGACGGCCUUCGGGUUGUAAACCGCUUUCGCCUGUGACGAAGCGUGAGUGACGGUAAUGGGUAAAGAAGCACCGGCUAACUACGUG
rnacentral:rRNA from 1 species